rnacentral:misc_RNA from 1 species
AAGUCGUAACAAGGUUUCCGUAGGUGAACCUGCGGAAGGAUCAUUAACACUUUGUUCUUUUUUUUGUUGUUUCGGCUUUUAACCAAAGCUGAACCGCAAAAAAAACAAACAUCCAAUUACCCAACUGAUUUUGAAGCAGUGCUUGUAGGAUAAAACGUUUUUUACAAAAAACGUUUGUCCUCAAUUUCUCACCUAAUUUUUUUCACAACAAAACCCCAAACAACCAUUUAAACUAUUUUUUGAAACUCAAAAAAUAACUACUAACGUUAACCAAACAACUCUUAGCAACGGAUAUCUUGGCUCUC